UGGGGAAUAUUGGACAAUGGGCGAAAGCCUGAUCCAGCCAUGCCGCGUGAGUGAUGAAGGCCCUAGGGUUGUAAAGCUCUUUUAGCGGGGAAGAUAAUGACGGUACCCGCAGAAUAAGCCCCGGCUAACUUCGUGCCAGCAGCCGCGGUAAUACGAAGGGGGCUAGCGUUGAUCGGAAUCACUGGGCGUAAAGGGCGCGUAGGCGGCCAUUCAAGUCGGGGGUGAAAGCCCAGGGCUCAACCCUGGAAUUGCCUUCGAGACAGUUUGGCUAGAGACCGGAAGAGGUAAGUGGAACUGCGAGUGUAGAGGUGAAAUUCGUAGAUAUUCGCAAGAACACCAGUGGCGAAGGCGGCUUACUGGUCCGGUUCUGACGCUGAGGCGCGAAAGCGUGGGGAGCGAACAGG
rnacentral:rRNA from 1 species